rnacentral:rRNA from 1 species
GACGAACGCUGGCGGCGUGCUUAACACAUGCAAGUCGAACGAAGUGGCGAACGGGUGAGUAAUACGUGGGUAACCUGCCCUCCUUUUUGGGAUAAGCCUUGGAAACGGGGUCUAAUACCGAAUAAAGGGGGAUGGGCUCGCGGCCUAUCAGCUUGUUGGUGGGGUGAUGGCUUACCAAGGCGGUGACGGGUAGCCGGCCUGAGAGGGUGGACGGCCACAUUGGGACGGAGAUACGGCCCAGAAUACUACGGGUGGGAGCAGUUGGGGAUAUGGCACAAUGGGCGAAAGGCUGAUGCAGCGACGGCGCGUGGGGGAGGAAGGCUUUCGGGUUGUUAACCUCUUUCGCUAUAGGACGGGUAGGUGGAGAAGAAGCGCCGGCUAACUACGUGCCAGCAGCCGCGGUAAUAC